AUUGAACGCUGGCGGCAGGCCUAACACAUGCAAGUCGAGCGGAUGAAGGGAGCUUGCUCCUGGAUUCAGCGGCGGACGGGUGAGUAAUGCCUAGGAAUCUGCCUGGUAGUGGGGGAUAACGUCCGGAAACGGGCGCUAAUACCGCAUACGUCCUGAGGGAGAAAGUGGGGGAUCUUCGGACCUCACGCUAUCAGAUGAGCCUAGGUCGGAUUAGCUAGUUGGUGGGGUAAAGGCCUAACAAGGCGACGAUCCGUAACUGGUCUGAGAGGAUGAUCAGUCACACUGGACCUGAGACACGGUCCAGACUCCUACGGGAGGGAGCAGUGGGGAAUAUGGGACAGUGGGCGAAAGCCUGAUCCAGCCAUGCCGCGUGUGUGAAGAAGGUCUUCGGAUUGUAAAGCACUUUAAGUUGUGAGGAAGGGCAGUAAGUUAAUACCUUGCUGUUCUGACGUUACCAACAGAAUAAGCACCGGCUAACUUCGUG
rnacentral:rRNA from 1 species